AUACGGAGGGUGCGAGCGUUAUCCGGAUUUAUUAGGUUUAAAGGGUGUGUAGGCGGGAGCCUAAGUCAGUGGUGAAAUCUCACAGCUUAACUGUGAAACUGCCAUUGAAACUGGGUUUCUUGAGUAUAGUUGAGGUAGGCGGGAUGUGUAAUGUAGCGGUGAAAUGCAUAGAUAUUACACAGAACACCGAUUGCGAAGGCAGCUUACUAAGCUAUUACUGACGCUGAUGCACGAAAGCGUGGGUAGCGAACAGGAUUAGAAACCCCAUAGUCC
rnacentral:rRNA from 1 species